UGGACAGAUUAUUGUAUUCGACUGUAUUCACGGCGUGAAACGGGGAUUACACUAUUUUUAAACGGAAGGUGUAUCAAUUAACAUAAUAGACUCCU
rfam:Nicotiana attenuata strain TT chromosome 1, whole genome shotgun sequence.